UCCCCUAAAACUCCCAUUUGUAUAUGGAAAAUUGAGUGUGUUAGGGUUCUAGAUCCAAGAGUAAAGCAGGUAAAUGGUAAUGCAUUUUUCUUUGAUUCUCCCCCUCUUUGUUGAGCUAGCUUUAGCUAUAUAAUGCUGACUGAGAAGUUAUAUCUUAGUGUAUACGUAUGUAUGUGGUAAGAUAAAUUAUUACAGAGAGGAGGACGGAAGAAGAUGGUGCAGAAAUGGGUUAAAAUAGGAUUUUUUUAAUCCAAAACUUGGAAGGGGGGGGAGGGAUUUGCAGGGUUGUUCUGCAGAACAAAAUUUGUUUCUAUUUUUACCCAUUAGUGGAGCUCAAACCAUGUGGUUAU
rnacentral:lncRNA from 1 species